CAUGUUCAUUGUACUUCAUCAGGUGCUCUGGUAGGUUCCGUAUCCCGGCACCUGUUGGAGUGCAAUCGAUAGG
rfam:Zootermopsis nevadensis contig25000, whole genome shotgun sequence.